UUCCUGAAGGUAAUACCCGGGUAUUAGGUUUUGGGGCUAGGGUUAGGUUUAAGGUUUUUGGCGUAAGGGUUAAAAUCACUGUCCAAAACCUUUUUAGGAACAUGUUUCAGACCUUUUGGAGAUGGUUACACCAAAAAAAAAUGUAAAAUGAAAAAAAAAAUAUUUGGGGUGUUCGGGCUUCCUGAAGGUAAUACCCGGGUAUUAGGUUAUGGGGCUAGGGUAAGGUUUAAGGUUUUUGGCGAUAGGGUUAAAAUCACUGUCCAAAACCUUUGUAGGAACUCUUUUCAAACCUUUUGGAGUUAGUUAGACAAAAAAAAAAGAUAAAUGAAAAAAAAAAUAUUUGGGGUGUUCGGGCUUCCUGAAGGUAAUAACCGGGUAUUAGGUUAUGGGGCUAGGGUAAGUUUUAAGGUUUUUGGCGUAAGGGUUAAAGUAACUGUCCAAUAUUUUUUAAGGAACAUGUUUCAGACCUUUUGGAGAUGGUUACACCAAAAAAAAUGUAAAAUGAAAAAAAAAUUUUUUUGGGUGUUCGGGCUUCCUGAAGGUAAUACCCGGGUAUUAGGUUUUGGGGCUAGAGUUAGGUUUAAGGUUUUUGGCGUUAGGGUUAAAGUAACUGUCCAAUAUUUUUUAAGGAACAUGUUUCAGACCUUUGGGAGUUAGUUAGACAAAAAAAAAAGAAAAAGAAAAAAAAAUAUUUGGGGUGUUCGGUUUUCCUGAAGGUAAUACCCGGGUAUUAGGUUAGGGGCUAAGGUAAGGUUUAAGGUUUUUGGCGUGAGGGUUAAAAUCACUGUCCAAAACCUUUGUGGGAACUCUUUUCCAACCUUUUGGAGUUAGUUAGACCACAAAAAAUGAAAAAAAAAAAAAUAUAUAUUUGGGGUGUUCGGGCUUCCUGAAGGUAAUACCCGGGUAUUAGGUUUUGGGGCUAGGGUAACUUUUAAGGUUUUUGGCGAUAGGGUUAAAAUCACUGUCCAAAACCUUUGUAGGAAGUCUUUUCCUACCUUUUGGAGUUAGUUAGACAAAAAAAAAAAAAUAAAUGAAAAAAAAAUAUUUGGGGUGUUCGGGCUUCCUGAAGGUAAUACCCGGGUAUUAGGUUAUGGGGCUAGGUUAAGGUUUAAGGUUUUUGGCGUGAGGGUUAAAAUCACUUUCCAAAACCUUUGUAGGAAGUCUUUUCCAACCUUUUGGAGUUAGUUAGACAAAAAAAAAAAGAUAAAUGAAAAAAAAAUAUUUGGGGUGUUCGGGCUUCCUGAAGGUAAUACCCGGGUAUUAGGUUUUGGGGCUAGGGUAACUUUUAAGGUUUUUGGCGAUAGGGUUAAAAUCACUGUCCAAAACCUUUGUAGGAACUCUUUUCCAACCUUUUGGAGUUAGUUAGACAAAAAAAAAAAGAUAAAUUAAAAAAAAAUAUUUGGGGUGUUCGGGCUUCCUGAAGGUAAUACCCGGGUAUUAGGUUAUGGGGCUAGGGUAAGGUUUAAGGUUUUUGGCGUAAGGGUUAAAAUCACUGUCCAAAACCUUUUUAGGAACAUGUUUCAGACCUUUUGGAGAUGGUUACACCAAAAAAAAUGUAAAAUGAAAAAAAAAUAUUUGGGGUGUUCGGGCUUCCUGAAGGUAAUACCCGGGUAUUAGGUUAUGGGGCUAGGGUAAGGUUUAAGGUUUUUGGCGAUAGGGUUAAAAUCACUGUCCAAAACCUUUGUAGGAACUCUUUUCCAACCUUUUGGAGUUAGUUAGAAAAAAAAAAAAAGAUAAAUGAAAAAAAAAAUAUUUGGGGUGUUCGGGCUUCCUGAAGGUAAUACCCGGGUAUUAGGUUAUGGGGCUAGGGUAAGGUUUAAGGUUUAAGGUUUUUCGGCGUGAGGGUAAACAAUCACUGUCCAAAACCUUUGUAGGAACUCUUUUCCAACCUUUGGGAAUUAGUUAGACAAAAAAAAAAGAUAAAUGAAAAAAAAAUAUUUGGGGUGUUCGGGCUUCCUGAAGGUAAUACCCGGGUAUUAGGUUUUGGGGCUAGGGUUAGGUUUAAGGUUUUUGGCAUUAGGGUUAAAGUAACUGUCCAAUAUUUUUUAAGGAACAUGUUUCAGACCUUUGGGAGUUAGUUAGACAAAAAAAAAAGAAAAAGAAAAAAAAUAUUUGGGGUGUUCGGGUUUCCUGAAGGUAAUACCCGGGUAUUAGGUUAGGGGCUAAGGUAAGGUUUAAGGUUUUUGGCGUGAGGGUUAAAAUCACUGUCCAAAACCUUUGUAGGAACUCUUUACCAUCCUUUUGGAGUUAGUUAGACCAAAAAAAAAACGAAAAAUGAAAAAACAAUAUUUGGGGUUUUCGGGCUUCCUGAAGGUAAUACCCGGGUAUUAGGUUAUGGGGCUAGGGUAAGGUUUAAGGUUUUUGGCGCGAGGGUUAAAAUCACUGUCCAAAACCUUUGUAGGAACUCUUUUCCAACCUUUUGGAGUUAGUUAGACCACAAAAAAUGAAAAAUAAAAAAAAAAUAUUUGGGGUGUUCAGGCUUCCUGAAGGUAAUACCCGGGUAUUAGGUUUUGGGGCUAGGGUAACUUUUAAGGUUUUUGGUGAUAGGGUUAAAAUCACUGUCCAAAACCUUUGUAGGAACUCUUUUCCAACCUUUUGGAGUUAGUUAGACCACAAAAAAUGAAAAAUAAAAAAAAUAUAUUUGGGGUGUUCGGGCUUCCUGAAGGUAAUACCCGGGUAUUAGGUUUUGGGGCUAGGGUAACUUUUAAGGUUUUUGGCGAUAGGGUUAAAAUCACUGUCCAAAACCUUUGUAGGAACUCUUUUCCAACCUUUUGGAGUUAGUUAGACAAAAAAAAAAAAGAUAAAUUAAAAAAAAAUAUUUGGGGUGUUCGGGCUUCCUGAAGGUAAUACCCGGGUAUUAGGUUAGGGGCUAAGGUAAGGUUUAAGGUUUUUGGCGUGAGGGUUAAAAUCACUGUCCAAAACCUUUGUAGGAACUCUUUUCCAACCUUUUGGAGUUAGUUAGACAAAAAAAAAAAACGAAAAAUGAAAAAACAAUAUUUGGGGUGUUCGGGCUUCCUGAAGGUAAUACCCGGGUAUUAGGUUAUGGGGCUAGGGUAAGGUUUAAGGUUUUUGGCGUAAGGGUUAAAGUAACUGUCCAAUAUUUUUUAAGGAACAUGUUUCAGACCUUUGGGAGUGAGUUAGACAAAAAAAAAAGAAAAAGAAAAAAAAAUAUUUGGGGUGUUCGGGUUUCCUGAAGGCAAUACCCGGGUAUUAGGUUAGGGGCUAAGGUAAGGUUUAAGGUUUUUGGCGUGAGGGUUAAAAUCACUGUCCAAAACCUUUGUAGGAACUCUUUUCCAACCUUUUGGAGUUAGUUAGACCACAAAAAAUGAAAAAUAAAAAAAAAAAUAUUUGGGGUGUUCGGGCUUCCUGAAGGUAAUACCCGGGUAUUAGGUUUUGGGGCUAGGGUAACUUUUAAGGUUUUUGGCGAUAGGGUUAAAAUCACUGUCCAAAACCUUUGUAGGAAGUCUUUUCCUACCUUUUGGAGUUAGUUAGACAAAAAAAAUAAAUAAAUGAAAAAAAAAUAUUUGGGGUGUUCAGGCUUCCUGAAGGUAAUACCCGGGUAUUAGGUUAUGGGGCUAGGUUAAGGUUUAAGGUUUUUGGCGUGAGGGUUAAAAUCACUUUCCAAAACCUUUGUAAGAAGUCUUUUCCAACCUUUUGGAGUUAGUUAGACAAAAAAAAAAGAUAAAUGAAAAAAAAAUAUUUGGGGUGUUCGGGCUUCCUGAAGGUAAUACCCGGGUAUUAGGUUUUGGGGCUAGGGUAACUUUUAAGGUUUUUGGCGAUAGGGUUAAAAUCACUGUCCAAAACCUUUGUAGGAACUCUUUUCCAACCUUUUGGAGUUAGUUAGACAAAAAAAAAAGAUAAAUGAAAAAAAAAUAUUUGGGGUGUUCGGGCUUCCUGAAGGUAAUACCCGGGUAUUAGGUUAUGGGGCUAGGGUAAGGUUUAAGGUUUUUGGCGUAAGGGUUAAAAUCACUGUCCAAAACCUUUUUAGGAACAUGUUUCAGACCUUUUGGAGAUGGUUACACCAAAAAAAAUGUAAAAUGAAAAAAAAAAAUAUUUGGGGUGUUCGGGCUUCCUGAAGGUAAUACCCGGGUAUUAGGUUAUGGGGCUAGGGUAAGGUUUAAGGUUUUUGGCGAUAGGGUUAAAAUCACUGUCCAAAACCUUUGUAGGAACUCUUUUCCAACCUUUGGGAAUUAGUUAGACAAAAAAAAAAGAUAAAUGAAAAAAAAAUAUUUGGGGUGUUCGGGCUUCCUGAAGGUAAUACCCGGGUAUUAGGGUUUUGGGGCUAGGGUUAGGUUUAAGGUUUUUGGCGUUAGGGUUAAAGUAACUGUCCAAUAUUUAUUAAGGAACAUGUUUCAGACCUUUGGGAGUUAGUUAGACAAAAAAAAAAAGAAAAAGAAAAAAAAAAUAUUUGGGGUGUUCGGGUUUCCUGAAGGUA
rnacentral:lncRNA from 1 species